UAUAUAUAUAUAUAUAUAUAUAUUGUUAGGGUUUCUAAAACUUUCAGAUAUUGUUAGUAUUCUAGUAUGUUAGUUGUUGUAUAGGACAGUUUUCUAUGUAGUCAGACCCUUGUUCCGGUACGUUCCACAGCUCCGCACGCUCAUUCGGUCGUUAAGACAGUAGUCGUUUUUAUCAAGCUCUACAGCCUUCAUUAUUUUUUCUAGAAAACCUCACUAUUUUAUUUAUUUUUAUUUUUUUUUUACAGAUCAUUAGAGACUGUGUUUUCUAUAUCGGUAGAGCCUUGUUUUUUUUUUUUUACUUGUUCGUUUUUUUAACAUUUUUUUCGGUCUGUUUUUCAUUGGAAAGGCUUUCAGCAUUUCUUGAGCUCGUUAUCGCCAUUACUUUUUAACAGACCAUUAAAUCCUCCUUAGUUUUCCAGAGCGUUCGAGCCUCUCCGCUUUUCCGAUAUAACCUCGUUCGUUUUCCUAGAUCAGUAGACGGGGAUUUUUUUUCUUGAGGUCUAUCCAAUACAGCAGUAAGACUUCACUCGUAUUCCGCAGCACUGAGAGUCGUUUAGGUUCUCUAUACGGUCAGACCCCGAUUGCUUUUUUUUUCUAGAGGCGUAGAUCCUGAGGCGUUUUUCUCUACAGACGCAUACCCCGAUUAGUUUUUAUUCUAGAUCAUUAGGCGCGUGUUAGCUUCUCCUGAGCUCUGUAACAUUUGUUGUCGUUCUUUUCUAGAUCGCUAAAACCUCAUCAGAUUUCCCAGAAUCCAGAAUCCUCACCAGGCUCGGUAUUUUCUCCUCCUUCUAGAUCAUCGAAAAAUUCGAAUAUCGUUGGAAAUAUAUUAAAUAUUAGCGUUUUGUUUUGUUUUUUCCUUCUUCUUUCUGGUAUAAGCGUUCGAUAACGCUGGACGAUUUGCUUCGGGGUGUCGAGUUAGCCACAGAGGGUGGUGUUGUCUGGUUUUGUCUGCAUAGGAACUAGGUAAAGAGAGAGAGAGAGAGAGAGAGAGAGAGAGAGAGAGAGAUUUAGAGUACACCUACUUGAGGUUGGCUAGAACAGAGCACAGGUCAAGCUUAAUAAUUCCAUAAAUCCCCAGAGGUCAGCUCAAGACCUCUCAGACAUUUUUAGUGCCUGUGUGUGGUUGUGUGUGUGUGUGUGUGUGUGUGUGUGUGUGUGUGUGGGAAAGAGCGAGAGAUAAAUCUCAGCAGAGUGUGUGCACUGUUGGGUGCAAGCUCUCAACAGUAACCCAGACAUGAGCUCUGUGUCACGGUGGUAUAGUGAAAGAUUUAGCAUGUGGUCAGUGUAAUAGGGUACAGACUGACCUGUGUGUGUGUGUGUGUGUGUGUGGUGUGUGGGUGUGUGCGUGUGUGUGCUGGAUCUGUCCCAAUUCCUUUUCAACACAGUAUGUUCAUUCUUUAUGGGUCACCUACAUAGAGCAGGUCAGCGUUCUGUUCUGUUCUGUUCUGUUCUGUUCUGCGCGCCGCCAUUUCCUGUUUCUCCGAGAAAGGUACGGACGACGAGGGGGGAAAUCUAAUAAUAUCUGCUCUGACCCGUUCUUAUUCACGAUUCGAUAGAUCGAUCACGAGCGUUCGUUUCCGCAUUACAGUUCAGAAACUCCUGCGCUAAAUCUGGUGGUGGGGGGGGGGGUAAAUAAAUAAAUCGAAUUUUCUCAUUCGGCACAAGUUUUAAAUGCUACGCCGAGCCACGUGGCGUUUCAGCCCUUGUGGUUAUGGGUAUUAUGCAAAUAUUUCUCUCGCGUAAUGAGCGAGCGCGGCGUCGGCUCGCCGCUUUUAGAGCCGCGCGGCGAGAUCGGGUUUGAAUAAUAACGCUAUUAUCCGUUUAGGCAAAAAAAUAAAUAAAUAAAUAAAAAUGUUUAAAAACGAGGCGGGUUACGAAGAAAGAGGGAGGGAGGGAGGGAGGAAAAGAUAUAAAAUAAACAUGAAACCCGAUACGGAAAUUCGAUAAAGGCACAAUAACAAGUGAAAGAAAGCAAUUAGAAAGUAUUUUUAAGUCUUGAUUAAAAUAACAAGAGUUAAGAACUAGUUAGAGGGGGGGAAAAAAAUAGAGAGAGCGCGCGUGCGAGAGAGAGAGAGAGAGAGAGAGAGUGUUCAGCUGUUUUUAAGCUCUGGUAAUGGAGUAAGUGUGUGUGAUGAAAUGUCUGUGGGCAGUGAGUUCCUGAUCUUUGGAGCCAGUUGUGUCCCUCGGCGAGUUCAGAAUCUAAUUUGGUGUAGACUCUGUGAAGUGUGUAAGGCUGCAGCGAGACAUUUAAAAGCCAGUAGCGGUGUUGCGGAGACAGCAGAACAAGCAGGAUGCAGCCAAAACCUUGUAAUUCACUCCCUCUUCCUCGACGCCGUGGAAACGCCGGCGGCGGCGGCGGCGGGGAGUCCAGAUUGGCGGCCUCUCGUGGUCUUAUUACAGGAGAUCCAGAGAGAAGAGCGUUACAGUGGUUUCGCAGCGAGGAGGCGGUGCGCGAGGUCCUGUAGUGUUGAAGAGCAGAAGGUUUGCAGUUUAAAUCCCAAACCCUCAACACCGGGCGCGUUAACUCCAUCGUUCAGAACUUCCCGGCCGUCUGUUUCAUUUCUUUUCCUUUAAAUAUCGUUCAUUUGAUUGUUCGGAGCAAUAUAUUUCUCUCUUGUUAUCUUUUGCAUUGUCUUGUAAACCGUUAGGUUUUAUUACGACUAAAAGUAUUUCUUUAUUACACUUACGAUCAUGCUUUUAUUUUAUUUAAUUAUUCCGUUAUAAUGACUUUUAAUUUGUCGUUAUUACCGGCGUGUUCUGUUCAUUUGUUAAAUGCGUUCUCUAUUAGACUACUUAUUGAUAGAUUCCAUUAAUGUUAAUACUUAUUACUGUACGCCCAUUGUUGUAUUUUUAUUACUUACAAUUUGUUUACUAUUAUUUCGUUAUUUACUGUUUGUUUGUUUGUUUGUUUGUUUACUUACUUAUUUCAUUGUUUAUCCAGGCAAAAAUAACGACGCUAAAACGAUGUGAGCGCAUAACCUGCACUGGCAUAUACUGGCAUGUGCUUUUAUUUAUUUGUUUGUUUGUUUGUUUGUUUGUUUUUGUAGUUUUGUACUAGCUACACUUGUGCGUCAUUAUUAACUGCUUACGAAUAAGUCGUGAUAGGUUGACGAGGGUCUGAUAUGCAAAGCUCCAACGCCGUCUCCUUCUCCUCUUCCCCGUCUCGACGGGCGCGCUCACGUCGCCGCCGCUAGCCGUUCGAUACGAUUCUGUAUAAAACCCAAAGCCCUGGUUUCCAACAAGUUUGGCUGCGUAGACCCAGAUUUCACCUCCUGUUUAGUUUUUCCUCCGCGCUUGAGCGGUGAUGACAUACGAGACGGACCCUGACGUCCAUUACCUUUUCCCCCAACUGCUGCUCGUGUCGCCUCGAGCAAAUCAUUUAACAGCAGGCCGCUUUUCCGGUGCUGCAACCUGGCCACCGGUCCUCUUUAACCCCAGCGUGAGGGAGUCCGAGAGAGUAACCGCCCUACCCACCUACCUACUAAGAUUAGAAAUACAAUUUAAAACCCGCAGACAUUCCGAGUUCCCCUAAAGCUUUCAGACCUACUUUAAAGCACAACAACAACGCUACUACAGACCUCCGUGUCAGCGCCGUCAGCCAAAUAACACCUGAUCGGCGAUGGCGGUCCUGUGGGGGUCUUUUUGUAUAUCGAUGGACGUGGCUACAGUCUGAAACGUUAGACCUUCGGCGUGCACCGAUAUAAACUGAUCACCUGGCCGAUAAAUAUAGAUCCAAGCUAGGCAACGUUCAUACUGUCAAAGAACCAACCAGACUUCCUCAGUUCCUCAUGUUGCGCUUAGGUCCCCUCAUUUCUACACAAUUUGUAACUAUAUUUCAGCAAAGUAGAUGGACGAACUGGUCCGCGCUGUCAGAUUUGCCAGUUAGCGUGAAAUAUGGAGUUUCACGUGAGAUAUACCGUCUCCGUUUCGCUUAAAGGCGCAACGGCCUUUAUUACGCGCUUGUACAAACAACCUGGAAGAUAUGACGACACGUUAAGUUAAGGCCUCGACCCGUUUGGAAAGCUGAUCCGGAAUGCCCGAUCGUGGUUGGACACGCCUCCCGUCGGUCACCGUGUAGACAGCCUGCUCUACGGGCCGCCGUAAAUCCUGGGGGCGGAGCUUCGCGAACACGUGCGGGGAAUCAUUCGGAUUUCGGACUAGCCGUUAGAGACCUAACCUGGGAGGAGGAGGGCAUAGAGGGGGGUAACGAAGGAUGUGCGGCGAUCUCACGGGUGCACGUGGAGAGUAAUUCCCGCCCGGUAAAGGUGUACCGCGAUCAGCCGUGGACAGAGGACGAAAAUCCUGCACUCGAUGGAAAGUAGUUUUGGUAACGUGACGUCUCGUAUUUACUUUGAAGUUGUGUGCCUGUCUUUACCCGCGUCAAACGUUAUUUUAUCCCGAUUAUUUUUGGACUCAAUCGGUUUCUAGAGACCUCUCUGACCAUACCCCGAAACAGGAGAUUAUGAGUUGAAUAAAACUGAGAAGCAUGCGUAUUUAUUCAACAUGGCAGAAGCUGUUUCGUCAAAAUUACACCGCUUUUUUUUUUUCCCGUCCCCCAGAGAGACACCGCAUGCAUUUGAGAAUAAAUGAGUCAUUCCCCAGGCUCAUCCGAGCCACCGGGCAUUUCUGAGUCUCUAUCCGUAUGCUGUAGACGGCUCACGGUUAGCGUUCUCCGCCGGUUAAAAGGCUCUGUGAUUGAUUUACGUGACGUAUUCUAUUAUCUUCGUCAAUCCGGUUUUCUCCGAGUUCGGUCUAAGUAACGCUUGACACGCUGCAGAAAGGAACGGAGUCGAAGGAGGAGAUUUCGCUUUGAAACGUAUUGGAGUAAAAGUGUGAAAAAUGGAACUUGAAUUUAAAAAAAAAAGAAACGUAGUAAAUGAACACAUCACUUGUCCACCACCGAACGCAGGGCCACUCUGUCGGUCUGUUUAGCGUUCCGACUGUCCGUAUCUGUAUCUGUACUCGGAGUUAAGCGGACGGGAAAAAAUAGGCGUGGCUUAGCUUACAUCAAAAUUCUUCGUUUGUUUUCCGUCCGAAUACAUACGGACCGUAUCACUGUUCCCUUGUGGACUCACGAUGGAGGAAAAACAAAACAAAAACGUAGUUAGGAUGUACUUCUAUUUCCCGAGAAAUAAAAGAAAGUAUUCGUUUAAACCACCGGGACCGGGACCAGGCGGCGACUAAGGAUGAACGAAUGAACGCCGUGGACGAAUCUCGUACGUCUUCGUCCGUCCUUUAUGCUAUACUCUUACCGAGGCCACGCCCUACAUCGCUACCAUUUAUACAAUUGAAUGUUGCCGGGCGCGUUAAGAUUAGCAACGACCGAGAUGGAUAAAUCUAUUGAAGGACAUCGCUGGUCGCAUGGCAGAACCGGUAAAAAUAAUAGAUAUGUUGUAAUAAUGCUUAGUUUCGUCUCCCGGGAAAUAUCGUCGGCACGUACGGGAAUCCCACGUUGAACUUGAGAAAACAUGGCGGUUGUGUUCGUGUCUAUAAUAACCGCUCACCAUAUCUAAUCCUCCACUGCGUACGUUCUUACUCUUACUCAAAUAAAUUACCGGAUCAAUAUUUGUGCUUUUCCUCGAGUGGCUCCUUUUUUUUUUGUUGUCGCCUACUCUACCCACGUCUGAAUGUACUAAAUAUUAAUGAGAACUGGACGGAAAGGUUCACAGGACACGCGGUUAAGGUUGGACGUGUGCACUGGAAUCCGGCAGGACCCGAGGAUAAAAGUCACGUGAACGGGAGGUGUUUUCUUUCUUGCAGGCGUGAGCGAGAAACCGGUCACAAACAAAGUACGCGAAGGAUUUACAGUACAGCCUUCGUUCCUUCAUCCAUAGUUACUGCCUGGUCAGGAUCGUGGUGGUUUAAUUAUAGUACUAGUUUCUUUAUGUUCUGGGAGCUCAGUUUGUUCAAAAAUAUUGGACACAGAAGGAAAUGGUGAUAAGGUUCGUAUUUAAUUAUGUAAAAAAAAUAAAUAAUAAUAAUUUUUUAAUUUAUUUAAAAAAAUUUCAUUCCGGUUGGGGUUUAAAUUCAAAUGCAGAUGUUUAGGUUGCUGUUCCGCAGUUCGUGUGUCCUCGUGUGUUUCUGCAGUAUCGCAGACGUGCUCUGAGGGGAAAAAACAAAACAAAAAACACCCAAAGUUUUAUUGUUUGUGUCACAGUUACUGAGUACCAACCAUGUGAAAGAAUGAAAAAAAACCUCUGGUUUGCUCGGGCGUAAUCUCACAGCGAUAAAUACGUUACGCGCCAAAGGCGAACAGGCGUCCCGGAUGACUCGCUCUCAUCCGAGUUUGAAACGCAGAGAAACUCACAAACACCUAGCUAGUUAGUCCCUCGCUGGCUAUCAUGUGAUCUGUAGCUCAGCAUAUCUGGGUAAAGCUAUCAAUUCCACAACAAGGGAAAAUCCGCCGAGGAUGAUCUCAUCUAUUAUUAACCAGCUUCCCGACAAAUCUGAGAACGAACGGACGCCUUGCUCUUCUCCCCGCGGCUGUGCGGGUUUCCUCAGGGUUCUCCGGUUUCCUCUGACCUCCUGUCAGUAUGGCGGUAGGCGGACUGGCAAAGCUAAAUUGCCCCUUCGAUGAACCGAUGAACGUCUUUCCUGUUCAUCAGGCAUCAACAAACCUCUCUCUCUCCUCUGAUUGGCUUCAACUCCUGUCUGUCACCAUGCAUUCAGACUUCUUUUGUGCCUAAUGUUGGGUGUGUGAUGUCGUUCGAUACUGUAUAUACAAACUGAUUGAAUUCCGUUCGCGUGGUUCUCGGGCUGACUCGCAGAGGCACAGGAACUUUGUGUGUGUGUGUGUGUGUGUGUGUGUGUGUGUGUGUGUGUGUGUGUUUUAAAGAAUUCUAGAAAGAAUUGAAAUGCAGCAAUGCUCUUAAAAAUCCCGGUGGAAUUUGGAAGGCUGAUUUAAAUCUCUACGAUCUUAAAGAACCCGAUCUCUACGCGGCAAAGCAGUAGACGAGAAUUUCGGGAAAGAACAGAAAAGCCGUGUGCCGUCUCAUUUGCGGUUAUGACACGUACACGACGCUCACGAUCGGGUUUAAAUCUCUGGAUUUUUGCUCGGAUUGCUCGUGCGUAUCUUAAAUAUCGGUAACGCGGACUCGGCGGCUAAGCUGCUCGGCUUCGUCCUCGCAGUAAAUUUUAGCGCGUGCGUGCGUGUUCCACUUACGAGUCAGGGUUAUAUUCACAAGCAGCUUAUAAAAUCGAUUAGUGUAAGGCCUUGUAGCAUCGUUAAAGAACCAGCGGGAGUUUAUCACGGAAAUCCCCGCCAAUUUUUUUUUCUUCUUCGCUCUCGCACUUCACGUCCCCUGUGAUGUAAGAGCACAGACGAUGCCGGCUUCCUCGAUCUCUAUAAACACCCAGACACUCCCUAUCGUCCUCUCUCUUCUCAUCUAUUCCCUCUCUUCUCACUCUUUCUCUUCAUCCCCAUUAUUUCCUUCCCACUGCUUUUAGCUUCUCUAUUACCUUAUUCAUCUUUUCACUGUGUUCACACUGGAUGGAAAAAUGGAUGGACGCCUUCCAUUUAAACGUUAAAUAAACGUCUCCUUAUGGAAAACUCUGUACGCUGUUAUUAUAGAAACCGUAACGUAUUAGAUAGAACGUGUGCAUUAAUAGAGUAACUUGCAUUACUGGCACCUUCUGACCAAUCAGAAGCCAGAAUUCGAUAUGUGGAGGUGGGGUUUAAAUUGCCCAUAGGGCCGCUGUAUUUAUCAGCAGACGUGAUGAGGAGAAGCGUAGUUUGGCGACGCUGGCGUCUCACGUGCGAGUGUUUAAGGAAGAGCACGUGAUUCGUCACGCUUGUGGUGUGUGUUAGGGAUUUAUUACCCUCGUGCGUGUGUGAAGUGCAGUGUAGCAGGAGAAGGUGUGAUUACGUACUGUUCUCGCCGUAAAGGAUUUCUUCUGCAGCCUGCUCGUUUCGGAUUCUUUAAUGAAUGUGUGUGUUUGUGUGAUUAAUAGAGGUGAUGGAGUUAUAGUGGAGUUCAUAGAGUCAUUAGAGUUAUUAGAGUUAAUAGAGGUGAAUAGAGUUAACAGAGUUAACAGUUAUUAGAGUUAACAGAGUUAAUAAAGUUAUUAGACUUAACAGAGUUAGUAGAGUUAAUGGAGUUCAUAGAAUUAGUAGAGUUAAUAGAGAUGAAGAGUUAAUAAAGUUAAUAGAGAUGAAUAGAGAUGAGUUAUUACAGUCAAUAGAGUUAAUACAGUUAUUAGAGUUAAUAGCGUUAUUAGAGUUAAUAGAGGUAACAGAGUUAAUAGGCUUAUUAGAGGUAUUAGAGUUAACAGAGUUAAUAGAGUUAACAGAGUUAGUAGAGUUAACAGAGAUGAAUAGAGUUAUUAGAGUUAGUAAAGGUAAUAGCGUUAAUACGUUUAAUAGAGUUAGUAGAGUUAACAGAGUUAAUAGGGUUAUUAGAAUUAUUAGAGUUAAUAGAGUUAACAGAGUUAAUUGGGUUAACACAGUUAAUAGGGUUAUUAGAGUUAAUAGAGUUAGUAGAGUUAACAGAGAUGAAUAGAGUUAUUAGAGUUAAUAGAGAUGAAUAGAGUUAAUGGUUAGUAGAGUUAAUAGAGAUGAAUAGAGUUAAUAGAGUUAGAGUUAAUAGAGAUAAUAGAGUUAAUAGUUAUUAGAGUUAAUAGAGUUAUUAGAGAUGAAUAGAGUUGAUAGAGAUGAAUAGAGUUAAUAGAGAUGAAUAGAGUUAAUAGAGAUGAAUAGAGUAAUAGAAGUUAAUAGAGAUGAAUAGAGUUAAUAGAGAUGAAUAGAGUUAAUAGAGUUAAUAGAGAUGAAUAGAGUUAAUAGAGAUGAAUAGAGUUAAUAGAGUAAUAGAGUUGAUAGAGAUGAAUAGAGUUAAUAGAGAUGAAUAGAGUUGAUAGAGAUGAAUAGAGUUGAUAGAGAUGAAUAGAGUUGAUAGAGAUGAAUAGAGUUAAUAGAGUAAUAGAGUUGAUAGAGAUGAAUAGAGUUAAUAGAGUAAUAGAGUGAUAGAGAUGAAUAGAGUUAAUAGAGUAAUAGAAUUGAUAGAGAUGAAUAGAGUUGAUAGAGAUGAAUAGAGUUGAUAGAGAUGAAUAGAGUUAAUAGAGUAAUAGAGUUGAUAGAGAUGAAUAGAGUUAAUAGAGUAAUAGAGUUGAUAGAGAUGAAUAGAGUUGAUAGAGAUGAAUAGAGUUGAUAGAGAUGAAUAGAGUUAGAGUGGGGUUGGAUGUUAUUGAUUUGGUUUAUGGAAAUAGUGACUGGCUGGAAAAUCACAGCACACCGCAGUCAGGGGAAAGAAAUGAGUGCAGUGUGAAUGCAGAGUUUCUCUACUCCGUCCUCUACUCUCCUCU
ensembl:lncRNA